AUUGAACGCUGGCGGCAGGCUUAACACAUGCAAGUCGAACGAGUGGCGGACGGGUGAGUAAUGCUUGGGAAUCUAGCUUAUGGAGGGGGAUAACUACGGGAAACUGUAGAUAAUCCCGCGUACCAUCGUCUGAGCCCACGUGGGUUUAGGGAGUUGGUGAGGUAAAGGCUCACCAAGCCGACGAUCUCUAGCUGGUCUGAGAGGAUGACCAGCCACACUGGGACUGAGACACGGCCCAGACUCCUACGGGAGGCAGCAGUGGGGAAUAUUGCACAAUGGGCGCAAGCCUGAUGCAGCCAUGCCGCGUGUAUGAAGAAGGCCUUAGGGUUGUAAAGUUCUUUCGGUAGCGAGGCGUUACCUACAGAAGAAGCACCGGCUAACUCCGUGCCAGCAGCCGCGGUAAUUC
rnacentral:rRNA from 1 species